CACCACUCAAGCCUCGCUUGGUAUUGGGCAUCGCGGUCCGCCGCGUGCCUCAAAUCGACCGGCUGGGUCUUCUGUCCCCUAAGCGUUGUGGAAACUAUUCGCUAAAGGGUGUUCGGGAGGCUACGCCGUAAAACAACCCCAUUUCUAAG
rnacentral:misc_RNA from 1 species